rnacentral:rRNA from 1 species
GCUUGCUACAGGCUUAACACAUGCAAGUCGAGGGGCAUCAGGAAGAAAGCUUGCUUUCUUUGCUGGCGACCGGCGCACGGGUGAGUAACACGUAUCCAACCUGCCCUUUACUCGGGGAUAGCCUUUCGAAAGAAAGAUUAAUACCCGAUAGCAUAAUGAUUCCGCAUGGUUUCAUUAUUAAAGGAUUCCGGUAAAGGAUGGGGAUGCGUUCCAUUAGGUUGUUGGUGAGGUAACGGCCCACCAAGCCUUCGAUGGAUGGGGGUUCUGAGAGGAAGGUCCCCCACAUUGGAACUGAGACACGGUCCAAACUCCUACGGGAGGCAGCAGUGAGGAAUAUUGGUCAAUGGGCGCUAGCCUGAACCAGCCAAGUAGCGUGAAGGAUGAAGGCUCUAUGGGUCGUAAACUUCUUUUAUAUAAGAAUAAAGUGCAGUAUGUAUACUGUUUUGUAUGUAUUAUAUGAAUAAGGAUCGGCUAACUCCGUGCCAGCAGCCGCGGUAAUGCGGAGGAUCCGAGCGUUAUCCGGAUUUAUUGGGUUUAAAGGGAGCGUAGGUGGACUGGUAAGUCAGUUGUGAAAGUUUGCGGCUCAACCGUAAAAUUGCAGUUGAUACUGUCAGUCUUGAGUACAGUAGAGGUGGGCGGAAUUCGUGGUGUAGCGGUGAAAUGCUUAGAUAUCACGAAGAACUCCGAUUGCGAAGGCAGCUCACUGGACUGCAACUGACACUGAUGCUCGAAAGUGUGGGUAUCAAACAGGAUUAGAUACCCUGGUAGUCCACACAGUAAACGAUGAAUACUCGCUGUUUGCGAUAUACAGUAAGCGGCCAAGCGAAAGCAUUAAGUAUUCCACCUGGGGAGUACGCCGGCAACGGUGAAACUCAAAGGAAUUGACGGGGGCCCGCACAAGCGGAGGAACAUGUGGUUUAAUUCGAUGAUACGCGAGGAACCUUACCCGGGCUUAAAUUGCAGUGGAAUGAUGUGGAAACAUGUCAGUGAGCAAUCACCGCUGUGAAGGUGCUGCAUGGUUGUCGUCAGCUCGUGCCGUGAGGUGUCGGCUUAAGUGCCAUAACGAGCGCAACCCUUAUCUUUAGUUACUAACAGGUUAUGCUGAGGACUCUAGAGAGACUGCCGUCGUAAGAUGUGAGGAAGGUGGGGAUGACGUCAAAUCAGCACGGCCCUUACGUCCGGGGCUACACACGUGUUACAAUGGGGGGUACAGAAGGCAGCUAGCGGGUGACCGUAUGCUAAUCCCAAAAUCCUCUCUCAGUUCGGAUCGAAGUCUGCAACCCGACUUCGUGAAGCUGGAUUCGCUAGUAAUCGCGCAUCAGCCACGGCGCGGUGAAUACGUUCCCGGGCCUUGUACACACCGCCCGUCAAGCCAUGGGAGCCGGGGGUACCUGAAGUACGUAACCGCAAGGAUCGUCCUAGGGUAAAACUGGUGACUGGGGCUAA